UACGUAGGGUGCAAGCGUUGUUCGGAAUCACUGGGCGUAAAGAGUUCGUAGGCGGCUCGACGCGUCGGGUGUGAAAUCCCGAGGCUCAACCUCGGGUCUGCAGUCGAUACGAGCAAACUAGAGUGUUGCAGGGGAGACUGGAAUUCCUGGUGUAGCGGUGAAAUGCGCAGAUAUCAGGAGGAACACCGGUGGCGAAGGCGGGUCUCUGGGCCACUACUGACGCUGAGAAGCGAAAGCAUGGGGAGCGAACAGG
rnacentral:rRNA from 1 species